rnacentral:rRNA from 1 species
CUCAGAUUGAACGCUGGCGGCAUGCUUUACACAUGCAAGUCGAACGGCAGCACGAAAGAGCUUGCUCUUUUGGUGGCGAGUGGCGAACGGGUGAGUAAUACAUUGGAACGUACCGAGUAAUGGGGGAUAACUGUCCGAAAGGAUGGCUAAUACCGCAUACGCUCUGAGGAGGAAAGCGGGGGACCUUCGGGCCUCGCGUUAUUCGAGCGGCCAAUGUCUGAUUAGCUAGUUGGUGGGGUAAAGGCCUACCAAGGCGACGAUCAGUAGUGGGUCUGAGAGGAUGAUCCGCCACACUGGGACUGAGACACGGCCCAGACUCCUACGGGAGGCAG